rnacentral:rRNA from 1 species
AGAACGAACGCUGGCGGCGUGGAUAAGACAUGCAAGUCGAACGCGAUUUAUCAGGUUAGCAAUAACUUGGUAAAUUGAGUGGCGAAAGGGUGCGUAACACGUGGGAAUUUACCAAGAAGUGGGGAAUAGCUCGACGAAAGUCGAAUUAAUACCGCAUAUGAUCGCAAGAUCAAAGCCGGGGACCGCAAGGCCUGGCGCUUUUUGAGAAGCCCGCGGCCCAUCAGCUAGUUGGCGGGGUAACGGCCCACCAAGGCUAUGACGGGUAGCUGGUCUGAGAGGACGACCAGCCACACUGGAACUGAGACACGGUCCAGACACCUACGGGUGGCAGCAGUCGAGAAUUUUCACAAUGGACGAAAGUCUGAUGGAGCGACGCCGGCGUGGAGGAUGAAGGUUUCGGAUUGUAAACUCCUGUCACUGCAGAACAAGGCAGUGCGUAUGAAUAGUACGUGCUGUUGAUGGUAUGCGGAGAGGAAGGGACGGCUAACGUCUGCCG